CCUGGCUCAGAUUGAACGCUGGCGGCAGGCCGUAACACAUGCAAGUCGAACGGUAACAGGAAGCAGCUGCUGUUCGCUGACGAGUGGCGGACGGGUGAGUAAUGUCUGGGAAACUGCCUGAUGGAGGGGGGAUAACUACUGGAAACGGUAGCUAAUACCGCAUAACGUCGCAAGACCAAAGAGGGGGACCUUCGGGCCUCUUGCCAUCGGAUGUGCCCAGAUGGGAUUAGCUAGUAGGUGGGGUAACGGCUCACCGUAGGCGACGAUCCCUAGCUGGUCUGAGAGGAUGACCAGCCACACUGGAACUGAGACACGGUCCAGACUCCUACGGGAGGCAGCAGUGGGGAAUAUUGCACAAUGGGCGCAAGCCUGAUGCAGCCAUGCCGCGUUGUAUGAAGAAGGCCUUCGGGUUGUAAAGUACUUUCAGCGGGGAGGAAGGGAGUAAAGUUAAUACCUUUGCUCAUUGACGUUACCCGCAGAAGAAGCACCGGCUAACUCCGUGCCAGCAGCAGC
rnacentral:rRNA from 1 species